rnacentral:lncRNA from 1 species
GUUGUUGUUGCUAUUUCUUGGGCCGCUCCCGCGGCACAUGGAGGUUCCCAGGCUAGGGGUUGAAUCGGAGCUGUAGCCACCGGCCUACGCCAGAGCCACAGCAACGCGGGAUCCGAGCCGCGUCUGCAACCUACACCACAGCUCACGGCAAUGCCGGAUCGUUAACCCACUGAGCAAGGGCAGGGACCGAACACGCAACCUCAUGGUUCCUAGUCGGAUUCGUUAACCACUGCGCCACGACGGAACUCCCUGCAUACCUCAGCUGUUUGCCAACUAUCUUGUUCUUUUCAGGCUACAGAGCACAGGGAGCCCUGAGCAGCAAAGAUGCUGCCUUGCUCCAUUCCCGGGGCAGACAUCCCUGACAGCAUCUUGACAGGAUGCCAAGAGACUUAUCAAGGCUCUUCACAGCCUUAAACAGCAGACCCUUCACCUGCUUCCUUGGGCCCAGAUCAGCUCACUAACAGGUAGCCACAGCUGAGGACAUGAACCCUGCUGGGUCAGCAUCUCCUGAGCACGUGUUGAGAGGCAUUUGUAAGCCUCUACAUCUAUAGUGAGGUGGUGCUUUCAGAACUUACUAGACCAUACGGUUGUGGGUCUUCUGAAAUUUGAGUGAGUACAUAGCUGAGUGCUCAAACAUUGACAUAUCAUCAACUUCCAGGAAAAAACUCUGGGAUGCCUUGUUGCUGAAUGAUCAUGAUAAGGUGUGAAGGUUGAUCAGAAUGCCAAUUGGGAACAACAUGGAUUCUUUAACUGUAUCACACCCCUUCUUAUCCGGUUCGUCCAAUCAAUUCUGUUAGCUACCUUUUGUUUGCUAGUUCGAUUUUCCUGCUGACACAGUAUGUCACUGUUACAGAUCAGCAUUGCUUCCUGAUACAGAAGGGUUCUUGGGCACAUAGCCUAUUUCUAGGUCUCCGCUAUGGCAUCAAGAAGCUGCAGACCGCAUUGCGUGUUCCUGUCCCUAAGAGACAGUGACUCUGAGCUUCCCGAACCUGAGUCCAGCUGGAACCCUGCUGCUCACUGUCUCCGGAACGUGGUUAGUAUCGUGCUUGCUCUGCAGCCCACUAUCCAAGUGGUCUCACGUUCUCUGGGUUCUUUGAGUUUUCUGAGCAUCAACAGAUUGAAAUAUAUUCUGCUGCUAUGAGACUUUCCUAUUGGUCAUAGAAAGGUAACCCUGUUCUCACGGUGUAACUUUAUGUGGCCCUUUGUCCUACUAGACUGUAAAGCCAUCAGUUCAAGCAUGAUUUCUCCAAGAUGUAUUUGAGCAGAGAGUCAAAUGAUAAAGGAUGUAAUAACACCUCAGGAGAAAGAAAUCUUCCAAACUGAAGAAGCUGGAAUACUGAGGGGGCGGAAGAGCAAGGGUUCAGGAUUGGGUUCCUGAGAGCGAGUUACAGCCUUCCUUCUCUAGAUACUAAAACCAUUAGCACCUGGGAGCCACAUAAAUACUUCAGUGCCUGACAAUUUAACACUUUUGAGCUCUUUUUGAUUUGUCCGCUUCCUUAGUUUUCAUAACCAUCUUACACUUUAAGUACUGUUACCCCAAUUUUCCAGGCAAGGAGUCACUGAAGAACUGAGGUUAAGUUGUUUCAGAGGAGACACAGGUAGUAAGCAGUAGAAACCUGCAUGAAAUCCAGGUGGUCUGACAUCAGAAUCCGUUUUUAACCAAUACACCAUAUUGCAUCACUGUGGAACUGAAAUGUUCAUUUGCCUGAUUAAACUGAUUGUAGUAUGGAAUCAGAGUCUAAAGCCAUUAUUAUCAAGCAGGCAUUUUGAUGGACUGACGCUAAGCAGCAUUGCUAAGAAACUUUUUUAAAACAUCUGCUGCCCACAGGGGACUAUAGAAUGAGACACCUAUUCUGAAAAAUAUAGUAUUUUUGUUAUUUGUUUUUUAAAUCUCCAUUAAACACAUAGAUCAAUAUGCAUCCCUUGAGAAGGGGCCAGUGAGGUAUGGAGCAGGGUCAGAAGUGUCUUUCCUAAUACUGUUGCCUUCAGUAGAAAAGUUAAAUCCUUACACAGAAACAGUGAGAUUAAGCUGCCCUGCUCCCACUGGUCAAGCAGUAGAGGCAAGUAGGAACAAGGUUCUUAAGGCUAGAACACCGGGAGUUUUGGGGACUCCAAAAACUAGAGGCUGUUAGAGUUCCAGUUUAGGAAAUGUAACUGCAAGGUUUUAAAGAACCUGGAUCAGUACAAAAAUUGUCUUUGAGGGAAAAGACAAGGAACUGUUUUGGAUUAGUGGGAAGGUGAUUGCUUGAAGAGGGAGUUUAUAAGAGGAAUGGAGUUUUAUGGCUAGUUAUUUGACAAGAUUGAUUUUUCAAACCUGCACGAGCUGCUGGUCACUGGAGAAGAGAUAUUACACAUUUUGCUGACAGAGAAACAAGUGUUAAGUAACUGCAGACAGAAGGAAAAGUCCCACACUGACUUCGUAUCAACUUCGCUUAACACACAUGCCUCUUUUCUGGCUAUUGAGGCCAACUCCUCUAUGAGAGGAUGGAGCAAACAGUUAAUUAGAAUUCUGCUUAUGGGACUGGGAAGGUAAGAGCUUGCAUCCUAACUUCUGUGCAGUGAGUCCAGAUUUUCUUCUACUCCAAAGGAUUGCUUCCUACUUAGACCUACUCCAAGAUAAUUCCUGAGACCAACAUAGGACCUUCAAACCCUGGAGAAGCCCCACAUGGGAGCUUGGAACUUUCAGUGAUAAAGCACGGAAAUAUGAGCAAGCUGACGAUACGGUUACCCGUCAUGGCCUUUAUUAGGUGGAAGUUACCCCUGCUCUGACCUGGAAAGUUUCUACAAGACCAGAGAGCAAGAGUUUAGGACUGUUGGAAAGCCUCCAAGUUGAGCCCAGCUCAGGAGGUAUCAUGUAAUCGAAAACAAGCAGCUCCCAGGUGAUCUGAAUCUUUAGCUGGAAAAGCAGUUAUUCAGGCAAAAGAAUCUGGUGAAUAGCAUUGAAUCAUCAAUUCCUUUAGGACAUAAGGCCUAAAAUAAGCCCAUAGCAAUCCUGGGAGCAGCAAACUCUCCACUGUGAUUAAUGUUUUGACUACUAGAUACAUGUGAAGGUACACGUUAGGUUGAGAAGCAACUCCUGCUCGCAGCACUGUUGCAUUUAAGGGCAUCCUUUGAUCCAGGCCUUGACCACCCAACCCCCACACAAGAGGGCAGGUGCCAACUUAACCACACUAAUUGGGGUUGGUGGUGGAUGCUGGGCUGGCUACCCCAUGAUAUCUUUAAGAAUUCUUUAAGAGACAACAGGAAACAGGGUGCUCAGAUAUUCUGCUUUACCUCACAAUGGCUCAAGACAGGGAUAAAAGUCAAUUUCUUCUACAUGGAUGAAGAUAAGCUUGUUCAAGGAAGCCUGCCAUGGGUUAGCCUUAUUAGCACUUAAUGGACAACAUCCGUGAGCUUCAGACUUAAAAACAUCUUAGCCCUCAGAAAUUAACAACUCGUGCACUAAGGAAAACGUUGAAUGCCCUUUAAGGCAUAAACAAGUGAUUCCCGUAGAAAUUCUAGAGCAUAUAAGGUUUCAUUUAUCAACGGGGUCUUGAUGCAUUUCAUGGUCUCUCCUGUAUUGGGAUUAUUUCAUUCUGAGGACAGAAGCAGUUGAAGGAGCAAAACUUCUAGGAUCAACACCACCAAUCCUAUGACUGAUCCAAUUUAUUCCUCCAGCCUUCACGCAUUACAGGGAUCUGGUUGCUAAAACCAAUUAUGAGGUUAAUGAGAGUCAACUGCCAGCUGAGGAUCAGCAAACCCUACUAGAAAAUACCUUCUGAAAUCAAACUCUUUGAAUUCAAAGAUCUGUAGUUUGGACAUGAAAUAUGGAAGGGACGUCUUGGGUCUGGGUUCCCAUAAGCAAGCCAGUUUUGCCAUGUCAGCCAAGGUUAGCAUGGUUGAGUCUAGUCUAAAAGCCUAGGGGCAUUAAAAAAAAAAAAAACACUUCAGAUAUAGUUAAGGAAUUUCAAAGCGUAAUAGGUAGGGGACCAAGGAGCAUAUUGGAGGAACCAUGUGCUUCUAGGAAAACAAAAGCACCAGGUCAGGAGCUGGAAAGAACAGGAGAGGCAAAGAGGUAAACAGCAGAACAAAAGGACCUUAUAGAUAGUACGGUCUAUUCCCAGUCAAAAUCUAUUCCCUAGCCUUGGGUCUUGCCUCCUCAGCUGGAGCAAGAGCAAAUCUAAGUGAACACCAGCAGGCCUCCCAGAUUUCAACCUUCCUGGGAAAGAUGCUCAUUACCAGAGGGUCGGAGAGAAUAAGGGAAGGCUAACUGGACCAACAGCUCUUGUGUCCUGAAAAGGCUUUGGUCCAAAGUGAAUCUCAGACAAGGCACAUUUCCCGGUCAUCAAGUGGACUAGACCCCCAGUCCUUCCUGGAAGGUCUGGAUGGCUGCCGGGCAGAAGGAAGCUCGAGAGUGAGCCUAGUGAAGGCACCGGGAAAAUGGUUUACACAGUAGUUUCCUUCUGUGUGAAUUGGGGUGAGUCAUGAGAGAAAGCAACCCGCGGUCUGCACUUAUCAGGAAUGGUAAGGCUAGUACAGAGAAAUUAGGCUAAAGUUAGAACCAAAGCUUGAGUCAACCAAAUGGCUCUUCUUUGCUGCCUUCCAUCGUAAGAAGGAAGAGCAUUACAAAUGCCCUUCUUAAUGUAAGCUGGGUUCGUGCUCAUCAGCCUGGCCCCUUAACUAGGAUCAUUCCCAGACCCAAGUCUUCAAAACCCUUCAAAAAGCUAAGGAAAGGAAGUACGGGUAGGAGGAAAAGAAAUCCACUGGAAGAGAUAGUAUCUAGUUUUGAUCAGCCUAAAGCAUUUUUUCCACCCAGUAUCAAAAUUUUUUUCCUUAGUCAAAGAAAACCCUGUCUUCCCCUCACACCCAAGCAGCAGAAAAAUUCGCUUAUUUCAAAGG